AUUGAACGCUGGCGGCAGGCCUAACACAUGCAAGUCGAACGGUAACAGGAAGAAGCUUGCUUCUUUGCUGACGAGUGGCGGACGGGUGAGUAAUGUCUGGGAAACUGCCUGAUGGAGGGGGAUAACUACUGGAAACGGUAGCUAAUACCGCAUAACGUCGCAAGACCAAAGAGGGGGACCUUCGGGCCUCUUGCCAUCGGAUGUGCCCAGAUGGGAUUAGCUAGUAGGUGGGGUAACGGCUCACCUAGGCGACGAUCCCUAGCUGGUCUGAGAGGAUGACCGGCCACACUGGAACUGAGACACGGUCCAGACUCCUACGGGAGGCAGCAGUGGGGAAUAUUGCACAAUGGGCGCAAGCCUGAUGCAGCCAUGCCGCGUGUAUGAAGAAGGCCUUCGGGUUGUAAAGUACUUUCAGCGGGGAGGAAGGGAGUAAAGUUAAUAUCUUUACUCAUUGACGUUACCCGCAGAAGAAGCACCGGCUAACUCCGUG
rnacentral:rRNA from 1 species